AUACGGAGGGUGCAAGCGUUACUCGGAAUCACUGGGCGUAAAGCGCGCGCAGGCGGCUUGAUAAGUUGGAUGUGAAAGCCUACGGCUCAACCGUAGAACUGCAUCCAAAACUGUCAAGCUAGAGUCUGGGAGGGGAAGAUGGAAUUAGUUGUGUAGGGGUAAAAUCCGUAGAGAUAACUAGGAAUACCAAAAGCGAAGGCGAUCUUCUGGAACAGUACUGACGCUGAGGCGCGAAAGCGUGGGGAGCGAACAGGAUUAGAAACCCUAGUAGUCC
rnacentral:rRNA from 1 species